AACAUUAGAUGAUAUUUUUUUUAAACUUGCGGGUCUGCACAGCGGGGUAUUGUCCAUUGACUUUCACUUAGCAUUAGCAGCCAGCAAAUUUGAAUUCGUGUUGUCCAAUAGGAUUUUUGCCCGCGCCGUGCAUUCAUAAUGCCAGCUGAUUACGUGUGACGGUUAAUCUCCAGCUGUUGCACUGUUGUUCUGACGCUCUUCUCGGCGUCGAUGGAGGAUGGACCUGAAGGACGCAAAGAAGCUGGAAUACGCUCGUGAAGACGAAGCACAGACAUUUGCAGAAAAUGAAGUGGACGAGGAAGCAGUAGAGUGUAAUAACGUGAUUGCUGCAAUUGGUGAGGAUGCAUCAUCUUUUGAGAGUAAUGCGAAUGUCCUGCGUAUCCAGUGAAAUAAGUCAUGGUGAACCUGACUGAAUGCAUUCAUCUACCAUCUCCAACCAAGUCAGAGCUUCAAGGACAGCUUGUGCUAAAGGUGCCUGAGCUUGAUUAAGAAAAAAAGCAUCUCCACUGGCCAAAGUCUACAAAAAAGCAAGAGAAUAGAAGUUUGCAGAUGAUCUAACAGGGUGUCACAGUGGCGCAGUGGGUAGCAUGAUCGCCUCACAUCAAGAAGGUUGCUGGUUUGAGACUCGG